rnacentral:misc_RNA from 1 species
CAGCCGCGUAAUUCCAGCUCCAAUAGCGUAUAUUAAAGUUGUUGCAGUUAAAAAGCUCGUAGUUGAAUUUCGGGAUUGACGUGAUGGUCAUGCCUUAAGGGGUAUGAACUGUUGCAGUUGAUUUCUCACCUUCUGGAGAAACUUGAUGUCCUUUAUUGGGUGUCUUGCGGAUCCAGGACCUUUACCUUGAAAAAAUUAGAGUGUUUAAAGCAGGCAUUUUUGCUCGAAUACAUUAGCAUGGAAUAAUAGAAUAGGACGGCAUGGUUCUAUUUUGUUGGUUUCUAGGAUCACCGUAAUGAUUAAUAGGGAUAGUUGGGGGCAUUAGUAUUCAAUUGUCAGAGGUGAAAUUCUUGGAUUUAUUGAAGACUAACUACUGCGAAAGCAUUUGCCAAGGAUGUUUUCAUUAAUCAAGAACGAAAGUUAGGGGAUCGAAGACGAUCAGAUACCGUCGUAGUCUUAACCAUAAACUAUGCCGACUAGGAAUCAGACGAUGUUAAUUUUUUAAUGACUCGUUUGGCACCUUACG